UACGUAGGGCGCAAGCGUUAUCCGGAAUUAUUGGGCGUAAAGAGCUCGUAGGCGGUUUGUCGCGUCUGCCGUGAAAGUCCGGGGCUCAACUCCGGAUCUGCGGUGGGUACGGGCAGACUAGAGGCAGGUAGGGGAGAAUGGAAUUCCCGGUGUAGCGGUGAAAUGCGCAGAUAUCGGGAGGAACACCGGUGGCGAAGGCGGUUGCCUGGGGCUUUGCUGACGCUGAGGCGCGAAAGCGUGGGGAGCGAACAGG
rnacentral:rRNA from 1 species